rnacentral:lncRNA from 1 species
AUUCAUUAAUUAUUAGUAAAUUAUUUUAUUAUAAUUUUUAUAUAUGGUUAAUCAUCAAUCAUAUUAAUGAUUAUAUCUUUCAACAAUUCAUAAUUGUUGAUCAGCCAUCUGAUCAGAUAGAAACUUCUAUUGUGUGUGACUCCAUAGGUUCGAACACUAAGUCAAUAGUAUAAGAACUAAUUUCUAUAUUAAUCGAAGUACCUAUCUAGCAAUGAUAUUCAACAUCCAGAU